rnacentral:rRNA from 1 species
GACGAACGCUGGCGGCGUGCUUAACACAUGCAAGUCGAGCGGUAAGGCCCUUUCGGGGGUACACGAGCGGCGAACGGGUGAGUAACACGUGGGUGACCUGCCCUCAGCUCUGGGAUAAGCCCGGGAAACUGGGUCUAAUACUGGAUAUGACUCCAUGACGCAUGUUGUGGGGUGGAAAGCCUUGUGCGGCUGAGGAUGGGCCCGCGGCCUAUCAGCUUGUUGGGGGUGAUGGCCUACCAAGGCGACGACGGUAGCCGGCCUGAGAGGGCGACCGGCCACACUGGGACUGAGACACGGCCCAGACUCCUACGGGAGGCAGCAGUGGGGAAUCUUGCGCAAUGGGCGAAAGCCUGACGCAGCGACGCCGCGUGAGGGAUGACGGCCU